GGUAGCUCAGUUGGAUAGAGCACUCGCCUUCUAAGCGAGUGGUCGCGGGUUCGAAUCCCUCCC
rnacentral:tRNA from 1 species